GACGAACGCUGGCGGCGUGCCUAAUACAUGCAAGUAGAACGCUGAAGAGAGGAGCUUACUCUUCUUGGAUGAGUUGCGAACGGGUGAGUAACGCGUAGGUAACCUGCCUUGUAGCGGGGGAUAACUAUUGGAAACGAUAGCUAAUACCGCAUAACAAUGGAUGACACAUGUCAUUUAUUUGAAAGGGGCAAUUGCUCCACUACAAGGUGGACCUGCGUUGUAUUAGCUAGUAGGUGAGGUAAUGGCUCACCUAGGCGACGAUACAUAGCCGACCUGAGAGGGUGAUCGGCCACACUGGGACUGAGACACGGCCCAGACUCCUACGGGAGGCAGCAGUAGGGAAUCUUCGGCAAUGGGGGCAACCCUGACCGAGCAACGCCGCGUGAGUGAAGAAGGUUUUCGGAUCGUAAAGCUCUGUUGUAAGUCAAGAACGGGUGUGAGAGUGGAAAGUUCACACUGUGACGGUAGCUUACCAGAAAGGGACGGCUAACUACGUG
rnacentral:rRNA from 1 species